AUGAGAGCUUGCUCCCGCUGGGCUGCGCAGCAGACGCAUUGGGGCCGCUUCGCAGCCCAGCGGGAGCAAGCUCCCUC
rnacentral:antisense_RNA from 1 species